GCAAGUCGAGCGGUAAGCUAACUUCGGUUAGCCUAGAGCGGCGGACGGGUGAGUAACGCGUAGGAAUCUACCUGGUAGUGGGGGACAACUUGUGGAAACGCAAGCUAAUACCGCAUACGCCCUAAGGGGGAAAGCGGGGGAUCUUCGGACCUCGCGCUAUUGGAUGAGCCUGCGUAGGAUUAGCUAGUUGGUGAGGUAAAAGCUCACCAAGGCGACGAUCCUUAGCUGGUCUGAGAGGAUGAUC
rnacentral:rRNA from 1 species